rnacentral:rRNA from 1 species
CUCUUCUUGAUUUAUUUUUUGAAGUAUAACCUGCCCACUGAUAUUAAUUUUUUGAAGGGCCGCGGUAUCUUGACCGUGCAAAGGUAGCAUAAUCAUUAGUCUUUUAAUUGAAGACUGGAAUGAAUGGUUGGACGAGAAAUAAUCUGUUUCUUAAAUAUUUUUUUGAAUUUAAAUUUUAAGUUAAAAUGCUUAAUUUUUUUUAUGGGACGAGAAGACCCUAUAGAGUUUAAUAUAUUUUAUUGUUAUUUUGUUUGAUAAUAUUAUUAUAGUAAUUUUAUAUUUUGUUGGGGUGAUAGGAAGAAUUAAUAAACUCUUUUUUUUAAUUAUAUAUUUAUAUAUAAAUUUAUGAUCCAAUUUUGUUGAUUAUAAGACUAAAUUACCUUAGGGAUAACAGCGUAAUCUUUUUUUAGAGUUCUUAUCAAUAAAUAGGUUUGCGACCUCGAUGUUGGAUUAAGAUUUAAUUUGGGUGUAGUAUUUCAAGUGUUUAGGUCUGUUCGACCUUUAAAAUCUUACA